rnacentral:misc_RNA from 1 species
GAUGAAGAACGUAAGCGAAAUGCGAUACGUAAUGUGAAUUGCAAAUUCAGUGAAUCAUCGAGUCUUUGAACGCAAGUUGCGCCCGAAGCCAUUAGGCCGAGGGCACGCCUGCCUGGGUGUCACACACCGUUACCCUCGCGCCAACGUCCAUCGUUGGCCGCGGCGCGGGGCGUGCGCUGACCUCCCGCGAGCGGGGUCUCGUGGUUGGUUGAAAAUCGAGUUCGCGGUCGAGGGUGCCGUGAUGAAAUGGUGGAUGGGCGACGCCCGAGGCCAAUCACGCGCGACUCUGUCCGGCUCGGACUCCUGGACCCCUUCGGCGUCUCCGGACGCUCUUUGGCGAGACCUCAGGUCAGGCGGGGCUACCCGCUGAGUUUAAGCAUAUCAAUAAGCGGAGGA